GGCGCGGUAGCCAAGUGGUAAGGCCGGGGACUGCAAAUCCUCUAUUCGACGGUUCGAUUCCGUCCCGCGCCUCCA
rnacentral:tRNA from 1 species